AGGCCAAUCAGGGAGCUGCCUGCAGCACAGAGAUAACAGGAGGCCUUGUUAAGGCGUUGACUCUGUAACCCAUGGGCUUGAAUGCAGAGUUCUUCUCGAGGACACCUCCAGGGGCCGACAAAGUACAGUGACAUUUCUACCUGCCCAUGUUCCUUUUGCAGGGAGCUCCUGUCCAGGGAGCCUUGUGGCUGAGCCCACCCUGCCACAGUACCUGGGAUUACACUGCAUGAGCAGCCAUGCCUGAGUGGGAUUUGAACUCAGGUCUUUACAUUUGCAUGGCCCUGGGGGAAACAAGAGUAAACAAAAACAGUCCAAAAAGACCCAGAAGUGAAGGAGAGUCUGACCAUACCAAUUCCAGAAUCUAAGGAGUGUGGUUAACCUCACAGUGUGGACAUUGUGCCACCCAACCUCUCAUCCCUAGACUCAGGAGCCUGCUCACUCCAAGUUUGAGAGGAGUCUCUGUAGUCGAACCUGAUACCCAGGCCUGGAAAAUAAGAGAAUCUCCAACAGGAAGACAGCCUGCUGGGGGACGAGCUCUGUGCUCCACACACAAAGGAGAGUAAGAGCAGAGGGGGUGAUGGGAUCAUCACCCUGACUUCUCCCUUGUAAAAGCUCCUGUACAGAGUUGGGUCUGGAUGAGCUGCAAAAUGGCAGAGAGGAGCAAGGAAGCCUUUUGCAGAUCCCUCUGGAGCACUGACUUCUUGGGCCAGGCUCACAGCAAAUAUCCAAGCAGUGUUUGCUGCACAGCUGAAGGUGGCCACUGCUGAAAGGAAGCACAAAAACCAAACCUGCUUUCAACACCACUGCCUCCCUUCCCACUGGAGCCCAAGAAAAACAUCUCUACUCACUCAGCCUGCAGCUCCAGCACACACGAGGCCAGGAGAGGCUGUGGGAGGAGGAAGUGUUGCUGCCUAUGUGCUGGGCUCUAAGGCCUGAAUGAUAUUCCAUCGUGACAUCGGUUGUGAUAAGGUCUGGGGGCCUGUUGACCCCAGUAGGCUUGUCACAGAUAUAUCAUCUAAGAGGCAAGGUAACUGAGACAUAAACAACAUCACAUUGUUUAGACGCAACACAGAGAACUUCGGCAACUUGUCAGUGGCUGCACAGCUAGAAAAUGGUAGAUUGGAUUCAAACCUGGCUGCUGGGCACCUACACCUACAUGGCAUGUCAGGACAGCAGUGUCUGAGACAUGUUUUGAAACAGAAACAGCUUCUCUCUGAGACUGGGAACUCCAGUGUUAAUAAAUCAGAUUAGAGCAGUG